UCCAUAGAGAGCUACUUUGCAUCAGCAGCACCAUGCUCCAGUGAUCUGGGAGAGUUUAUAGUCCUGAGAGUUGAACACUGGAUGACUGACAGCUGUCCUUCAUCACAACAGAAGACACAGAAAUCCUCCUCAUCAAAAACAUGACUUUGAUCUGCGUCCUCAUCUGGACUCUCCUCUGCUGCUGCUUCACAGAGUCCAAAAUCCAGGUCACAGUGACUCAGCCUGCAGCAGUGAGAGCUGAUCUAGGAGGAUCUGUCACCAUCAGCUGUAAAACUGGACAGAAUGUUUAUGUUUCGAGCACCAACCACCGUUUAGCCUGGUACCAACAGAAAGAUGGACAAACUCCUAAACUUCUCAUUUAUUAUGCUAGCACUCGAGAAUCAGGGACUCCAAGUCGUUUUACAGGCAGUGGAUCAAACUCUGACUUCACUCUGACCAUCAGUGGAGUUCAGGCUGAAGAUGCUGCAGUUUAUUACUGUAAGGGAGAAUUUGAUGUGAACAAGUAUGAGCUCCUCACACAGUGAAAAACAGUCAUACAAAAACCCCCCUCAGUGUGACUGAACAGAAACUCCAGCUGGAUGUUACAACAGACACUGACACAGCUCACUAAACACAGACACACACAGAAUAACAAUAAUUUCAAGCUGAUAUCCUUUCCUCACAAAUACAUUCACAUGAAUAGUGAACGUUUGAAUUUAUUGCUGGUUUUGCAGCAAGCGUUGGGUUAACUUUAAAGUUUGAAUAUUUUAAUACAACUGGAACAACAAUGCUAGUUGUUGAAGGUAAAAUUUAACCUAAGAUUGAAAUGAAAUGUCAUCAUUUAGGUAAACAUGAAGAAAACUCGUUAAUCACUUAAUGAAGAUUUAACUCUCUUGGCUGAACAGAAAUUUUGAAGUUCUGACUAUAGUUUAUUGAAACAAUGAUUCAAUUGUUUUGGCUUCAUUUUCUCCUCAGGACACAUUACUUUAACAGAAAUUAAAACUGUAACUUUUUAUGAGCCAGAAAAUGGACAAUAAUCAGCUUGGAUUAAACUCUCUAGAUGUUCAUU